AAAGUCGUAACAAGGUUUCCGUAGGUGAACCUGCGGAAGGAUCAUUAAUGAAUCUAAACUCGGUCUUCUGUGCUGGUGGCAACACAUGUGCACGUCGAUCGUGAUUCUAUCCUCCUCUCAACCGUCCAAGUGUGUGUUUGGUCGACCUCUGGUCGAAGAGUUGUGGCCCUCGGGCUCGAUUCGUUUCAGAUGCACCUUGGUUAUUUCACCCACUCUGGGUAUCAGAAACAAAGAAAACUAUAUAUAAACUAUACAACUUUCAACAACGGAUCUCUUGGCUCUC
rnacentral:misc_RNA from 1 species